GAAAAAUCGUAUUUUGUCACUAACGGUUUAUCAUCGCCGUAUUACGGAAAUAAAUCGAACAAAUUUUUAAAUGUCGUAUCUUCCAAUGACUUUGCACGCUUACGAAAAUGGCACGGCCGUCGGCAGUAUCGCGGCUUUUUGUAUACGUAAAAAAAAAUUCAAUUACCGCGGCUCGCGUUAAAACUUCGCGGAUAUACAUUAUAUACUUACACCCCUCCCUUUACAUGUAACUGCAAUGUAAAAAUGUCAAAUAGUCCUGUUACACUCUGUAUAUAUAUAUAGAUAGAUUCCAUUCGUCCUU